UUUUCAACUGUGCAGGAAAACGCCUGUUCGAUAUGCUUCCACGAGGCCGCCCUUUUGCUCUCGAGAAAGUGUAGCCCUGGGUGCACAUAGAAUUUGUGGCAAACAAUUCACGGUGGAGGCGCCUCACAGUAGAUGUACAAUACACGCCAGAUGUGGCUGUUGCACACGGACGCAAAUGAAACAUCUCUUAGCUACUUCAACAUGAAGUACUCAUUAUCGGUCUCUUGAGAAUUCUCACAAGCAGUAGUGCAAUUUUACGCGUCAGCCACCAUUUCUAACUUGCAAGGCUUGUCUCCAUCUCUACCCUCAGACCCACUGAAAGUUGACAGUCGUGUGCUGAACCAGCAAGUCGUGUUGACACAGUAGACCAUGUUGGCAGGCAUAUCGAUAUGUUCAGUCCGGAGCUUUACAGGUUUCUAUAGCUGUCGAUAUGAAGACUGGAUACUUGCGCGAUUCUCUGCACCUUGCCCUGCUUACACUUUUUGGAGAUUGUCCUGGAAAGCGCUCAGAAAGGAUUCUGAGAAUAGUCGCCAUCUCCUCCACGCCUCACCAUUCCCAAAUUGAGAGGUCACUGUGCCGCACACCAUUCAAAGGCUAAGGUAGCUCUCCGCUAAAACUCUGGACAUCUUUGAAAACGUAGACAGGCGACACAUUGGUGAUGCUUCACAAUCACGGACCUUAGAUGACUUCAUUGUGUACUGUGAAUUGUUUAUUUCGAAGCGUCCUGGGAAAUGAAUUUGACUCUUCAGUGAUCUGAAUUCAAGCCAGCGGUCGUUAUUGCUCACCACAGCAAUUCACUAUUUGCAAGCGAUGCAACGAAUAUGUUACAUGAACUUGCACCAGCAGAGGUCUAACUCCACUCUGAUCAUCACAAAGUAGGUUCUGUUCACGCUACAAUCUCACAACACCAACACAGCAGUUUGGCGAAUGUUUCGAAAAUCAAAAGCUGUUGAUUUUGGAAAGUAGAUGAGAAGUGGCAAGUAGAGGUUGGUAGGGAGCGAGAACCGUUCGCCGGUGGCUUCAGCACUCGAUGUAUCCGCCAGACCCCAAAUCCUGCAUCCCUUCUUCGAGUCCCACUCAGAUCAAUUUACGAGCUCUCGAAGGCUCACGGAGUAGUUGGCGGUGACGCGGUGCAGUCAAUCAAGUUGAGAUUCCAGCACUUUGGGGAGGUAACAAAAGGAUAUUCUGCGUAGAUGGGGUGGAAUUUUGGCAUGGAAUUGUGCUAUCCUGGUCUGAAUCCAUUAUGAUGAGAAGGAUGAUUCUCGAGGUUGUUGUUGUUGUUGUUUGUUUGAUUUCUGAGUCUGUUUGCGUCACUCUCCAUAUUUGCGUGGAAUUGAGGAGCCUACAGUGUCUCCGUCCCUUUCUUUCUAUUCCUUUACCUGUCCUUUUAUAUAUUUGUAAACAAAUAUCUCCAGCUACUUGAAGUGAAGUGUAUACCUCAACUACUUUUAACAUCCUUCAGACCCAACAGCCUCUGGACAGGGAACAGGAACGCACGCAGAGCAAUUACACUGACACAAGGAGCAGAGGGGCACUCCACUUGACCAUCCAUUACAGAAAUAAGAGGCAUCGCCCCAUCCGAAUUACGACCCCAACAGGGCAUCAUGAUCCAAGGAGACACCGAAGGUAGGACACCACAAACCACUCGAGAAGGCCAUUUAGAUGGCCGUUUAGAUGAGGGUUUGUGUAUUGGGAGAAUUAUUCCAUAUAGUACACUAGUCUCUUAUAUAGAAUACUAUCCACGAAGUAUUGACCUUGUGACUCUUGGUGUCACUCUCAUACACACAAUGUAUUGGAUAAUAUUGAUCAUAUUAAUACACAUAAUGUUUCCAA